GCAAACUUGGUCAUUUAGAGGAAGUAAAAGUCGUAACAAGGUUUCCGUAGGUGAACCUGCGGAAGGAUCAUUACCAGAGUGGAGGCCUCCGGGCCUCUUUACUCCCACCCUGUUGCAGUAUAACGAAGCGUUGCUUCCGGCCUCACCGGCCGGACAGCACCUAAUCUUUAACUCAGAGUUUUGACUUUGUUCUGAUCGUAUUGAGAAAUCAAACGAAAACUUUCAACAACGGAUCUCUUGGUUCCGGCAUCGAUGAAGAACGCAGC
rnacentral:misc_RNA from 1 species